rnacentral:sRNA from 1 species
UGAUGGCAAUGGUGCACUGCGGCCGCCGU